CGGAUAAUCCCUCUUCCAAGUUAAUAUAAUGAGUGGUCGGUUGUGGAAGGACAGUGCGUUCCCUGAAGUGACUUUCUCGGAGAGGAAUCGCUACAUCAUAGUGAAUUCAUGCAUUCGACAUUAGUAGAUGAUAUCAAACCCUUUUCCAAAGUGGCUGCACCAAUACAUCCCCACCUUCAAAAGCACUGUAUAGAUCUACCCAAUAUACGGAAAGGCCUUAAGAAGACGAGAAAGAAUAUUCGUAGACAGCAGCAGCUUUGACCAGCAGAAAUUGCCAGUAUAAGAUCAAGGAUAAUCUAGGGGGCAGUGUGGAAAACUUGGUUGAACUCAUGUGGAUCUUUCCAGCCGAAGUAAUAUCUAAAAACAGAAACCAUCACAGGACAUAGCAUCAUCUAGGACUCACAGGAAACAUGGUUUGAGAUAAAAUGGAUGAAACAUUUUGGUUUUUGUUUUGAUGCUAUUUUUCUAUAAACAAAUAACAUAAGUAA